CGGCGGACGGGUGAGUAAUGUAUGGGGAUCUGCCUGAUGGCGGGGGGUAACUACUGGAAACGGUAGCUAAUACCGCAUAAUGUCUACGGACCAAAGCGGGGGACCUCCGGGCCUCGCGCCAUCAGAUGAACCCAUAUGGGAUUAGCUAGUAGGUAAGGUAACGGCUUACCUAGGCGACGAUCCCUAGCUGGUCUGAGAGGAUGACCAGCCACACUGGAACUGAGACACGGUCCAG
rnacentral:rRNA from 1 species